CCUUUAACAUAAAAUAAAGAACAAGUGACUAACUUCUUCUUGGACAAGGAUCCUAAAUGAAUCGCACAUGCUUUAAGGAUUUCAUGGAAUUAGGAGACACACAGAUGGAUAUAUCAAGAGAAAUACGGGUAAGCGACGAGUUACUUUGUUCCUCAACAAAAUUAGUUUUGAUUUUCAGAAAAAUCCCAUGCUGAGGGUUGAACCUCGCUAGAUGAUCUUAUAGAUCACCCAUCCCAUCUUUUAGGUUCUAUUUGGGCAGUUACUAAUUCAUGAUCUAAUAUGUACAUAAUGAAAAAUUCAUUCUCAAUUCUACAAGAAUUUUUAUGAAAGUCUUUCAUUUGCUCCUUUUUUUUUUAUGAAAGUUUGAUUUUCUCAUAAUAUCUUAAUUUUUG
rnacentral:lncRNA from 1 species